rnacentral:misc_RNA from 1 species
AAAGCAUCCCAGAAACAGAGGAAAACAACUAUUCUAAAGAGCAAGUAAAAGAUUCCAAGGAUAAUGCAGAUGAGGAGUUGAGGAAAACUAUGCAUUUAGCCUCUCAAACUGAAAAUGAUUUCAUGGUUUCUGAAGAUGAGAGAAAUGCAAAAAAUCAACAGGAAUAUUUUGUCCCUUGGCAUUUACCAUAUCAUCGUGCUGAAGUCGGCGGCUCAUCUGCUUGUGCUCUUGCAAGUGGCUUGGCCAAAAAAGAUGAUAAAAAGGGUGCUGUAGUGUAUAACAGAUACUACCAUGUCUUCAGUGAAGGUGAACUUGAAAGGUUGGUAACUGGCAUAAACAACGCAGUAAUAGUUGAUCGAUUUUUUGAUAAAUCGAACUGG